rnacentral:rRNA from 1 species
GUCGAACGCUGGCGGCGCGCCUAACACAUGCAAGUCGAACGAGCGAGGGAGAGCUUGCUUUCUCGAGCGAGUGGCGAACGGGUGAGUAACGCGUGAGGAACCUGCCUCAAAGAGGGGGACAACAGUUGGAAACGACUGCUAAUACCGCAUAAGCCCACGACCCGGCAUCGGGUAGUGGGAAAAGGAGCAAUCCGCUUUGAGAUGGCCUCGCUUCCGAUUAGCUAGUUGGUGAGGUAACGGCCCACCAAGGCGACGAUCGGUAGCCGGACUGAGAGGCUGAACGGCCACAUUGGGACUGAGACACGGCCCAGAAUCCUACGGGAGGCAGCAGUGGGGAAUAUUGCAAAAUGGGGGAAACCCUGAUGCAGCGACGCCGCGUGGAGGAAGAAGGUCUUCGGAUUGUAAACUCCUGUUGUAGAGGAAGAUAAUGACGGUACUCAACAAGGAAGUGACGGCUAACUACGUG